rnacentral:rRNA from 1 species
AACGCGAAGAACCUUACCCAGGCUUGACAUGUAAUUNCAAGCUCGCCAAAACGAGCCGCUUUCGAAGGUGUUACACNCGUGGUGCAUGGCUGUCGUCAGCUCGUGUNGUGAAAUGUUGGGUUAAGUCCCGCAAAGAGCGCAACCCUCAUGUNCUGUUGCCAGCGAGUAAUGUCGGGAACUCGGAACANACUGCCCAUGUNAGUGGGAGGAAGGUGGGGAUGACGUCAAGUCAUCAUGCCCCUUACGCCUGGGGCUGCACAUAUGCUACAAUGGAUGCUANAAAGGGCUGCGAACUCGCNACANUGAANCCAUCCCACAAAAAGCAGNCUCCCAUCACGAUUGGAGUCU